ACAGCUGUAGACACGCAGUCUUACGGGGGCGGGAAUGUUAGGACACAAACUGGCAACGCUGAAUGUCUUACUCUUAUACGAUCCGGCCCUGUGCCAACCACUCACACUAAUCGAAGCGGUAAGCCUACAACUGCAAAAACGACAUGGAUAGACGAUAACAACAAGAUCUAGAACGAUAGCUACUCCUAAAAGCGUGUUGAUCGAAGAGUGCCUCAAAUAUAUAAUUAUAUUUCUAGUUACUUAAAUACUAUUUUCAAGUUACCUACACCUAAAUAUUAUUAGUUAUACCAUCUCUACCGCAGAUUGAAAUUGAGCGACAGUGAAUUAUAUAAUUGAUAUGUGCUGCGAAUUUAAGAACUACAAUAACCUUAAGCUAUAGUGAACAAUAUUAUAUAAUACGUUCCUAUAGUUAACAUUUCAUCUACCGUAAACAUCAUAAGCCUACACUAAAUUGUAAGUACCGCCAUCAUGUGAACUAUUAAAGAUGCUAAUAAGAAAUAUAUUUUAGCUUGAGCUGAUCUGGAACUGAUUGUUUCAACUGCUGAAAGAAGUGUAGCUACUUGUUGU